CUUGGUCAUUUAGAGGAAGUAAAAGUCGUAACAAGGUCUCCGUUGGUGAACCAGCGGAGGGAUCAUUACCAGAGCUCUCUCGCGAGACUCCCAAACCAUUGUGAACCUUACCCCCGUACGCGUUGCUUCGGCGGGCCGUCCCCCCGGGGCGCCCGCCGGCGGCCGACCGAAACUCUUGACAUCCCAGUGGACUCUCUGAGAAAACAAGCCAAUAAGUUAAAACUUUCAACAACGGAUCUCUUGGUUCUGGCAUCGAUGAAGAACGCAGCGAAAUGCGAAAAGUAAUGUGAAUUGCAGAAUUCAGUGAACCAUCGAAUCUUUGAACGCACAUUGCGCCCGCCAGUAUUCUGGCGGGCAUGCCUGUCCGAGCGUCAUUUCAACCCUCAAGCCCCGCUUGGUGUUGGGGUCCUACGGCUGCCGUAGGCCCUGAAAGCUAGUGGCGGGCUCGCUACCACUCCGAGCGCAGUAACGCAUCUCGCUAGGGACGUGUGUGGCGGGUUCCGGCCGUGAAACCCCCCCAUUUUCACAAGGUUGACCUCGGAUCAGGUAGGAAUACCCGCUGAACUUAAGCAUAUCAAUAAGCGGAGGA
rnacentral:rRNA from 1 species